rnacentral:misc_RNA from 1 species
AACGCACAUUGCACCCUCUGGUAUUCCGGAGGGUAUGCCUGUUUGAGUGUCAUUAAAACACGUCAACGCAGACGAGUUGCGUGGUUUCAUCUCCACGACGAACUCGGCUCUGAUGCUUGGAUGUUGAAGGCUUGCUGGCGUCGUCAGCUCCUUUUAAAUUCAUUAGCCGGAACCGACGCAUAACUGGCGCUUCAGUUUGAUAACGUUGAACUGCUGCCGCCCAUGAUGCUUUUCCAGCUUCUAGCCGUCCGGCCCUUUGCUGGACUGCCUCGCUCUCGAGGCAAAAGGGGGGGGCGCUCUCGCCUCUUUUCACAAUUUGACCUCAAAUCAGGUAGGACUACCCGCUGAACUUAA